rnacentral:rRNA from 1 species
GACAGAGGGUGCAAACGUUGUUCGGGCUUACUGGGCGUAAAGCGCGUGUAGGCUGCUCGGAAAGUCGGGUGUGAAAGCCCUGGGCUCAACCUAGGAAGUGCACUCGAAACUUCCGAGCUGGAGUGCUGGAGAGGAAGGCGGAAUUCUCGGUGUAGAGGUGAAAUUCGUAGAUAUCGAGAGGAACAUCGGUGGCGAAGGCGGCCUUCUGGACAGCGACUGACGCUGAGACGCGAAAGCGUGGGGAGCAAACAGG